rnacentral:piRNA from 1 species
GUUGUCAGUUAGAAACACUUGA